ACUCAACUAAUUCAGUAUAAUCACAUAGAAUCAGAACUUUUCAACAAUCCCAUCAAAAUCAGAAAACACCAAUAUCAAUUACAGCUUCAAACUAAAGCAAAUCUCAUCAAUUAAUUACUCACGACAACGAAACCAGUCAAUAUCACAGCCAUAACCCAAACUCAAUUCACAUUCGCAUCCAACUUCAAUCAUAACUCAGAAUAAUCACCACAACUAACUCUUCUCAAAUACAUUUCAUUCAAUGAUUAACUCUCCAUAUCU
rnacentral:lncRNA from 1 species